GUGAAUCAUCGAAUUUUUGAACGCAUAUUGCACUCUCUGGUAUUCCGGAGAGUAUGCCUAUUUGAGGGUCAUUUGAAAUAAUAUAAAUUCCAAGAUUUCUCGGAAUUUAAAAUGGGUUGUCCAUUUUUUUUGGUGUCCUAAAAUCAAAAACAACCUCAUUUUUUGGGUUUCCUUAUUAUUUUCAUUUACUCCGU
rnacentral:misc_RNA from 1 species